rnacentral:rRNA from 1 species
UGGGGAAUCUUGCGCAAUGCGCGAAAGCGUGACGCAGCAACGCCGCGUGGGGGAAGAAGGCCUUCGGGUUGUAAACCUCUUUCAGUUGGGACGAAGGCUGUCCGGUUAAUAGCCGGUUCAGUUGACGGUACCUUCAGAAGAAGCCCCGGCUAACUACGUGCCAGCAGCCGCGGUAAUACGUAGGGGGCAAGCGUUGUCCGGAAUCAUUGGGCGUAAAGAGCGUGUAGGCGGCCCGAUAAGUCCGCUGUGAAAGUCCAGGGCUCAACCCUGGAAUGCCGGUGGAUACUGUCGGGCUCGAAUCCGGAAGAGGUGAGUGGAAUUCCUGGUGUAGCGGUGAAAUGCGCAGAUAUCAGGAGGAACACCAAUGGCGAAGGCAGCUCACUGGGACGGUAUUGACGCUGAGACGCGAAAGCGUGGGGAGCAAACAG